AAUCAACGCUGGCGGCGUGCCUCAGACAUGCAAGUCGAACGCGAAAGUUUCCUUCGGGGAACAAGUAGAGUGGCGCACGGGUGAGUAACACGUAGGUAAUCUACCUUUGGAUGGGGAAUAACAACCGGAAACGGUUGCUAAUACCGCAUAAUGCAGCGGCACCUAAUGGUGACAGUUGUUAAAGCGGGGGAUCGAAAGACCUCGCGUCUGAAGAGGAGCCUGCGGCGGAUUAGCUAGNGGUAAGGUAAUGGCUUACCAAGGCUACGAUCCGUAACCGGCCUGAGAGGGCGGUCGGUCACACUGACACUGACAUACGGGUCAGACUCCUACGGGAGGCAGCAGUCGGGAAUUUUGGGCAAUGGGCGAAAGCCUGACCCAGCAACGCCGCGUGAAGGAUGAAAUCCCUCGGGAUGUAAACUUCGCAAGAACGGGAAGAAUAAGCGAGAGUUAAUAUCUCUCGUGAUGACGGUUACCGUUUGUAAGCUCCGGCUAACUCCGUGCCAGCAGCAGCCGCA
rnacentral:rRNA from 1 species